CGUACACUCCUACGGGAGGCAGCAGUGGGGAAUAUUGGACAAUGGGCGCAAGCCUGAUCCAGCCAUGCCGCGUGAGUGAUGAAGGCCCUAGGGUUGUAAAGCUCUUUCACCGGUGAAGAUAAUGACGGUAACCGGAGAAGAAGCCCCGGCUAACUUCGUGCCAGCAGCCGCGGUAAUACGAAGGGGGCUAGCGUUGUUCGGAUUUACUGGGCGUAAAGCGCACGUAGGCGGACUAUUAAGUCAGGGGUGAAAUCCCGGGGCUCAACCCCGGAACUGCCUUUGAUACUGGUAGUCUUGAGUUCGAGAGAGGUGAGUGGAAUUCCGAGUGUAGAGGUGAAAUUGGUAGAUAUUCGGAGGAACACCAGUGGCGAAGGCGGCUCACUGGCUCGAUACUGACGCUGAGGUGCGAAAGCGUGGGGAGCAAACAGGAUUAGAAACCCCAGUAGUCCCA
rnacentral:rRNA from 1 species